UACCAGCACCCCGAGUGGUCGGGACGUUUAUUGGGCCUAAAGCAUCCGUAGCCGGUUCUGCAAGUCUUCCGUUAAAUCCACCUGCUUAACAGAUGGGCCGCGGAAGAUACUAUAGAGCUAGGAGGCGGGAGAGGCAAGCGGUACUCGAUGGGUAGGGGUAAAAUCCGUUGAUCCAUUGAAGACCACCAGUGGCGAAGGCGGCUUGCCAGAACGCGCUCGACGGUGAGGGAUGAAAGCUGGGGAGCAACCGG
rnacentral:rRNA from 1 species